rnacentral:rRNA from 1 species
UGCAGAAUCCCGUGAACCAUCGAGUUUUUGAACGCAAGUUGCGCCCAAAGCCAUUAGGCUAAGGGCACGUCUGCCUGGGCGUCACGC